UACGUAGGGGGCUAGCGUUGUCCGGAUUUAUUGGGCGUAAAGGGCGCGUAGGCGGCCUGAUAAGUAGGGGGUGAAAUCCUGCGGCUUAACCGCAGGGCUGCCUUCUAAACUGUCAGGCUAGAGCACAGUAGAGGCAGGUGGAAUUCCCGGUGUAGCGGUGGAAUGCGUAGAGAUCGGGAAGAACAUCAGUGGCGAAGGCGACACACUGGCCCAUUACUGACGCUGAGGCUCGAAAGCGUGGGGAGCGAACAGG
rnacentral:rRNA from 1 species